AGAUUGAACGCUGGCGGCGUGCUUAACACAUGCAAGUCGAGCGGUAACGCGGGAGCAAUCCUGGCGACGAGCGGCGAACGGGUGAGUAAUGCUUGGGAAUCUGCCCAUUAGUGGGGAACAACCAGCCGAAAGGUUGGCUAAUACCGCAUACGCCCUACGGGGGAAAGCGGGGGAUCGAAAGACCUCGCGCUAAUGGAUGAGCCCAAGUCGGAUUAGCUUGUUGGUAGGGUAACGGCCUACCAAGGCGACAAUCCGUAGCUGGUCUGAGAGGACGACCAGCCACACUGGGACUGAGACACGGCCCAGACUCCUACGGGAGGCAGCAGUGGGGAAUAUUGGACAAUGGGGGCAACCCUGAUCCAGCGACGCCGCGUGUGUGAAGAAGGUCUUCGGAUUGUAAAGCACUUUCGACGGGGACGAUGAUGACGGUACCCGUAGAAGAAGCCCCGGCUAACUUCGUGCCAGCAGCCGC
rnacentral:rRNA from 1 species